AUAUAUAUAUAUAUAUAUAUAUAUAAUUGAGCUAGAAUACUUUUAGAAGCACCACCUCCUUGGUGCUUAUAAGUUUUUAGCCCUUGAAUCUACUUCUUGAUUAUUAAUAGCUUUUGGAUCAAACACUAUUCCACCUACCACCACCUACCACCACCUACUACCAGCAUCCCAACCCUACAUUCUUCAUCCAUAGGCUAAAAACUCAAAAGCACCACCUCUUUGGUGCUUUUGGAAGGGGUAAAUUGCACUGUUGCCCCCUGAACUUUUGGCGGAGUUUCACUUUACCCCCCAAACUCUGAAAUUAGACAUUUACCCCCCUAAACUUUAAUAUU
rnacentral:lncRNA from 1 species